CAAAGCUGGUGGAGUUCAAUAAGUAUAAAGCAGGACUUGAUAAGCAAGGUAAUGGUAGUAGCAGGCAAUUCAGAUAAGGGAAAGGAGGUGUGAUGUGCUGGGACCUUGCUAUAUUGAUCCCAAAUGAGUUUGGCCCAGGCUAUCUCUCAGUCCCUGGAUUUUCUGCAGGUUAAAUUCCUUUCCUCAGGCUUGGAGGAUAUAUCAGUGUUGUCAGCCUGAUAGAUCAUAGAAUAUACAAUUGUGAAACCUCCUGAGCUGGAAGGAACCUACAAGGAUCACCGAGGCCAGCCCUUAGUGCUGCACAGCUCCAAGAAGGCUGUUGCACAACUAAUGACCACUGAUAUGGGAUUAAAGCAGUGUUGGAUCACCCAGCAGGACCACUGGAAACAAGGCAUCACCCUGAAAGAAGGUGUACACAGGAGCUUGUGGUGGAAAUGAAUCCAUGCAGGUGCCAGAAACCAGACACUGAGACCAAAGUAGGCUUCUGAACAGGGUUUGUACUCCAAGAUCAUCAGCUUCGACUUCUCAGCUAGGUCAGUUUUUUCUAGGUACACACUGCUGCCUGCUGUUUCUGUUGCAUGGACAAGCAUAGGCACGAAAAUCCUCAUUUACACAAGUCAAAACUCCAGCACAGCUCAGCAAAAACACUGCAGAGCCUAAAUGAAUGGCAUUGGGUUGGGAAAGGUAAUUUUGACUUCAAGUGACUUGAGUUUUCUGUGCAUUUGGAAAUACAAAAUGAUUCCUUGGACUUAGUGGAAAUAGUUUGCAUGGGGUUUUUUUGUUGAGUUUUGUUUUCAAGUUGAACCAAAAAGUUCCUUAUGGAUGUUUCACAGGUAUGCAGCAGGAUAGCACAAUGCUGAUCUGUAAUAACUAAGAUUCUGACACAAGAAGAUGAAAGGCACAUUUUAGCUAUGAUACUUUCAUAUCCCUUUCUUUUUCCUGUUUGUUUUCAAUGCAUGAACUUUUUUUGGGAGGGGAUGUUGAAAUGUUGGCAUCUCUUGCCUAGUUUGAUUUACAACAGAGCAUUGCAUUUACUCUACAUAGUAUCAGAAAUGCUGCUUUCUUUGAAAACUUUGUCAAGCUCUCUGGAAAAUAAUGAUGCUCUCUGUCUUUUAGUAGUGCUCACUUACCUGCUGCUGGAGGCUCCUUGAGGGUGUAUCUGAACUUCCUGACCCAUUUUUUCACUCUUCUGGCAUCCUCAGUGAGGAACAAGUCUAUCAGAACCUCAGCUUUGCACUGCACUAAGAGCUUGAAUCUGGCUCCACCGAUCCCUUCUGCCACAGUCCCAAGGCAGAAGAGCAGGAAGAGGGAUUUCUGUAAAAUUCUUCAGGUCUUGGAACGGGAAUCAUCAUCUUGAAGUGUCCAUCCCUGUUUAUUGUCUAAGAGAGAUUCAGAGCUUCAGAGGGAAAGGAAGGCUGUGCUUGUAUUUAUGAAGCUUCGGUUGUUAUUUUGAAGAUAUUCAGUGGACCAUGGAAAAUGCCACUUAGCUCCAAAAAAUAGGAAAUUGCAAAAUUCUUCCUUCAUAAAAUUUGGGUUUAAACUCAGUGUGGGCCUGAUCAAGUUGAAAGCUCUUGAUUUGCCUUUAUUGAAAUUAUUAAAAGCACAU